AUUGAACGCUGGCGGCAGGCCUAACACAUGCAAGUCGAGCGGAUGAAGGGAGCUUGCUCCUGGAUUCAGCGGCGGACGGGUGAGUAAUGCCUAGGAAUCUGCCUGGUAGUGGGGGAUAACGUCCGGAAACGGGCGCUAAUACCGCAUACGUCCUGAGGGAGAAAGUGGGGGAUCUUCGGACCUCACGCUAUCAGAUGAGCCUAGGUCGGAUUAGCUAGUUGGUGGGGUAAAGGCCUACCAAGGCGACGAUCCGUAACUGGUCUGAGAGGAUGAUCAGUCACAACUGAACUGAGACACGGUCCAGACUCCUACGGGAGGCAGCAGUGGGGAAUAUUGGACAAAGGGCGAAAGCCUGAUCCAGCCAUGCCGCGUGUGUGAAGAAGGUCUUCGGAUUGUAAAGCACUUUAAGUUGGGAGGAAGGGCAGUAAGUUAAUACCUUGCUGUUUUGACGUUACCAACAGAAUAAGCACCGGCUAACUUCGUG
rnacentral:rRNA from 1 species